ACGAAUCUGGAGGUUCUUGCCCAUCAGUCUACACUGGACUUUAUUCCACAGAUAACAGAGCGCAAGAUAGACUUUCACAGGGUGAUCAUUGACAUCCCAUGGAGGUUGAAUUACUGGCUUAGCUGAAUAAGUCUGGGAGGAGGAAUCUGAAAUCAAAUGCCAACUCAAGAGCACAAAGAAAGAAGGUGGAUGCAAUUGGACAAUCACAUUGGUUCAAGAAUGUCAGAAUUGCAGUCACUACAAUUCUCCUGGCUUUUCUCUCAUGGUCCCCAAAUGACUGCUGGAGUUUCAGCCAUCAUAUCAGUGAUCAAGGCAGCUGGAUCCAGGCAGUAAUCCAGACACUUGGAAGUCCCACCCAAGGACUUCUGCUCUUAUCUCAUUGGUCAUCUUUGUCUGAAAGGAAAGCUGUGAAAUACAGUAUUAUUAAUAAGCACGUUGCUGGCUCCAAUAAUAUAGAGUCUUGUUAACAACAAAGAAGAGGAGAAUGGAGAUUGAGCAACCAGGAAGCAGUCUCAGCCACACCAUCAUAUGGAGAAGUGCCUGUUUCCCAUUCUGCCCGAUUUUAAGUUUCCUGAGGCACCCCCAGCCAUGCAGAACUCUCUGGUGCCUGGCCCACAGGAAGUUUUCACUAAAUAUUGAAAUAAACUGAACUUAGAUUAAACUUUGGUGUCUAACUUAGGAAAAACAACAAGAGUUCUACAAAACUAUUUCUUCACAGGAAAGUCUGAAGCCAGGCCUGCUUAGCAGAGGUCUCCGUAUAGUAGGGAUCUCACUCUUUCAAGAUGUAGGAUCUCAACUGGUUAGCCAGCCCUCUGAGUGAAGCUGGUCAGUUGGGGCUGUGACAACAUAGCACACUCAAAGGGGCAGACCCUUCUCAGCUCCAACAGAUUGGUGUCAUUGGAAAAGGUGGACCCAGUGUAGGCAGACUUUCCUAGAGAGUCCAGAAGUGACUGUGCAAGCCCAAAGCAAUCCAAACAAAUAUUUGUGGACCACCAAGAACCUCUGGUAUGAAGUAAAUAAUAAAGGCAUUGAACAAUAAUAACCUGUCUGUAUAUCCACCAAUGGGACCGAUGGGCCACAGUGUGACAUCUAUCCUAUUCAUGUCAUAAGGGAGAUGAAUUCUACUGUGGGACAGUCUGUGUGACUGCUCGUAGGAGAUUAUCCAAUUCCUUUUGCUCUAAUUUCAUGGUCACCAAAUUUCUGCUUGCUAACUUUGUUUUACAACAAACUUUAGAAAGGAGGUGAUCUGAAUAAGAGGAUAUAUGUUUUUCAGUCUCUGGAAAGGGGUAUUUCUUUGUAUUGAGAAGCCAGAACUCUUGAGUGUGUUGAGCCUUGUAGAGAUUGAACCACUCUGGGUCAGCUGACAAAAUAAGAUUCUGGUGCUGAAAAGCUGAGUAUGUGACCAUGAUAUUAACAGUGACCUAAGUUUGUGUGGCCCCCUUCGUUCUCCAGAAACCAACCAGUCAGCCUUCAUUUUGUAAAUGUAGCAGACACCAUUUUGCUAGUGAAUGAGGUUAAAUCUUUAGCCUUGUCAUUGGUUCGGCUUUGUAAUUUAAAACUCUCUUAUUUUACCCUCUGAUUUUAAAUCCCCAGAUUUUCCUUUCUGUGUCCUUUGCCCCCUGAAGUUUCCAUCUGUCUAGCAACUAAGCACUGUUUGGGUAUCUACUGUCUUCCCCAAGUUGCCUUUACUUUUCUUCUUUACCUUUCUCUUGUUUUAUUUAUUUCUUUCUUUUUUUGAAAUGGAGUCUUGCUCUGUCACCCAGGCGGGAAUGCAGUGGCGCAAUCUCGGCUCAUUGCAACCUCCACCUCCCGGGUUCAAGCAGUUCUCCUGCCUCAGCCUAAUGAGUAGCUGGAAUUACAGGUGUGCACCCCCAUACCUGACUAAGUUUUGUAUUUUCAGUAGAGACGGGGUUUCACCAUGUUGGCCGGGCUGGACUUGAACUCCUAACCUCAGGUGAUCCGCCCUCCUUGGCCUCCCAAAGUGCUGGGAUUACAGGCAUGAGCCACCACACACAGCCUCUCUUGUUUUACUUCUGUCAUUACUUUUUGUUCUUUUAAUUUGGAAACCCACCUGCUUCCUCAGUGUCAUUAUUAAAAACCCACAUGUUACAGGUUCAUUAGGACUGAAACAUUCCUUCAGAGCUGAGCUGACCAACAUGUUAGCCACUAGCCACAUGUGACUAUUGCAUACAUGAAAUGCAAAAUGUGGCUGGUCUGAAAUGAUGGUAUAGGUAUGAAAUUCACACAAGAUUUAGAAUACUGAAGAUAAAAAAGAAUGUAAAGUAUCUCAUUAAUACUUUUUUUGGUAUUGAUCACCUAUUGAAAUGGUAAUAUUUGGUUAUACUGGCUUAAGCAAAUGUACAUUAAAAUUAAUUUCAUCUAUUUCUUUUUACUUCUUUAAUACCAGAAAAUGUAAAAGUACCUAUCUGGCAAGCAAUAUAAAACUAUUGGUCAGUGCUACUUGAGAGUCUUAAUGUCUGUAUUUUUUAUAUCUCUGUAAGCAUAAAUGCUGUAUUAAAAACCCAAUUUGAAUAAACACCCCCA
rnacentral:lncRNA from 10 species